GCCCCGUUGGUGUAGUCCGGCCAAUCAUAGUGCCCUUUCGAGGCAUUGACACGGGUUCGAAUCCCGUACGGGGCA
rnacentral:tRNA from 1 species